rnacentral:rRNA from 1 species
CACGUAGGGCGCAAGCGUUGUCCGGAAUUAUUGGGCGUAAAGAGCUCGUAGGCGGUCUGUUGCGUCCGCUGUGAAAACCCGGGGCUUAACCCUGGGCUGGCAGUGGAUACGGACAGACUAGAGGUAGGUAGGGGAGAAUGGAAUUCCCGGUGUAGCGGUGAAAUGCGUAGAUAUCGAGAGGAACACCUGCGGCGAAGGCGGGUUGCUGGGCUGACACUGACGCUGAUGCGCGAAAGCCAGGGGAGCGAACGGG